rnacentral:lncRNA from 1 species
UCUGCAGUAACAUUUAAUUUUCUUAUUAUUGUGUCUCUCUGCAGCUGUUUCCAACCUAGAUGAAGAGAGUAGAUGGUCUGUGCACUAUACUGCUCCAUGGCACCAGCAGGAAAAUGUCUUCCUACCCUCCUCAAGACCACCUUGUGUGGAGGACCUGCACAGACAAGCCAAGCUGAACCUCAAGUCAGUACUGAGAGAGUGUGACAAGCUGCGGCGGGAUGGCUACCGGAGCUCACAGUAUUACUCUCAGGGCCCCACCUUCUCCUCGUCCUCCAGUGCAAUCUGUGGAAGUUACCAGGAUGAUUAUGAAGAAAUUGAACAAAAGUGUCCUGUCUCUCCCCCUGAAGAGGAAAAGCUUAUUACCAUCAAAAGGCCUAAAAGUCCAGCUUCAAAUGAGUUAUCAGAUAUCAACACCCAAACCAACUGGACUAAGUCACUCCCACUGCCAACUCCAGAAGAGAAAAUGCGACAACAAGCACAGGCCGUUCAAACAGAUGUGGUUCCUAUUAAUGUGACUGGUAGGCUUUUAAUUUCAGUAAUUGCAUUACACUGAUGAGGGAGGGAAGGAAUAAAAGG